rnacentral:rRNA from 1 species
GUUAGGAAUAUUGGACAAUGGGCGCAAGCCUGAUCUAGCCAUGCCGCGUGAGCGAUGAAGGCCUUAGGGUUGUAAAGCUCUUUCGUGGGGGAAGAUAAUGACUGUACCCCAAGAAGAAGCCCCGGCUAACUCCGUGCCAGCAGCCGCGGUAAUACGGAGGGGGCUAGCGUUGUUCGGAAUUACUGGGCGUAACGCGCACGUAGGCGGACUGGAAAGUCAGGGGUGAAAUCCCGGGGCUCAACCCCGGAACUGCCUUUGAAACUCCCAGUCUUGAGUUCGAGAGAGGUGAGUGGAAUUCCGAGUGUAGAGGUGAAAUUCGUAGAUAUUCGGAGGAACACCAGUGGCGAAGGCGGCUCACUGGCUCGAUACUGACGCUGAGGUGCGAAAGCGUGGGGAGCAAACAGGAUUAGAUACCCUUGUAGUCC